rnacentral:rRNA from 1 species
GACGAACGCUGGCGGCGUGCUUAACACAUGCAAGUCGAACGGUGAAGCGCUUUCCUUUUUGGUUGGUGUGGAUGAGUGGCGAACGGGUGAGUAACACGUGAGUAACCUGCCCCCUUCUUCUGGAUAACCGCAUGAAAGUGUGGCUAAUACGGGAUAUUCUGCGCCUGCUGCAUGGUGGGUGUGGGAAAGAUUGUGCCUUUGGGUGUUUUCGGUGGGGGAUGGGCUCGCGGCCUAUCAGCUUGUUGGUGGGGUGAUGGCCUACCAAGGCGGUGACGGGUAGCCGGCCUGAGAGGGUGGACGGUCACACUGGGACUGAGACACGGCCCAGACUCCUACGGGAGGCAGCAGUGGGGAAUAUUGCACAAUGGGCGCAAGCCUGAUGCAGCGACGCCGCGUGAGGGAUGGAGGCCUUCGGGUUGUGAACCUCUUUCGCCAGUGAAGCAGGCCUGCUCCUUGUGGGUGGG